rnacentral:rRNA from 1 species
CUACGUAGGGGGCGAGCGUUGUCCGGAAUGAUUGGGCGUAAAGGGCGCGUAGGCGGCGCGGUAAGUCUGGAGUGAAAGUCCUGCUUUCAAGGUGGGAAUUGCUUUGGAUACUGCCGCGCUUGAGUGCAGGAGAGGUUAUCGGAAUUCCCGGUGUAGCGGUGAAAUGCGUAGAGAUCGGGAGGAACACCAGUGGCGAAGGCGGGUAACUGGACUGCAUCUGACGCUGAGUCGCGAAAGUGUGUGGAGCAAACAGGAUUAGAUCCCCUGGUAGUCCACGCCGUAAACGAUGAAUACUAGGUGUAGGGGGUAUCGACUCCCUCUGUGCCGCAGUUAACACAAGAAGUAUUCCGCCUGGGGAGUACGGCCGCAAGGUUGAAACUCAAAUGAAUUGACGGGG